UUGUUUAGUUGCCUAGCUUAGUUUGGUAGAGCAUGAGACUUAAUCUCAGGGUUGCGGGUUCAAGAUUCCUGCAUUGCAAG